CAUUCACGGAGAGUUUGAUCCUGGCUCAGGACGAACGCUGGCGGCGUGCUUAACACAUGCAAGUCGAACGAUGAACCACUUCGGUGGGGAUUAGUGGCGAACGGGUGAGUAACACGUGGGCA
rnacentral:rRNA from 2 species